UACGUAGGGGGCGAGCGUUGUCCGGAGUUACUGGGCGUAAAGCGCUUGUAGGCGGUCCACCAAGUUUGGGGUGACAGUUGCCGACUUAAUCGGCAAAGUGCCUCAAAGACUGGCGGACUUGAGGGCCACAGAGGGACAUGGAACUCCAGGUGUAGUGGUGAAAUGCGUAGAUAUCUGGAAGAACACCAAAGGCGAAGGCAGUGUCCUGGGUGGUCGCUGACGCUGAGAGGCGAAAGCCGGGGGAGCGAACGGG
rnacentral:rRNA from 1 species